rnacentral:rRNA from 1 species
UACGGGGGGGGCAAGCGUUGUUCGGAAUUACUGGGCGUAAAGGGCUUGUAGGCGGCCAACUAAGUCAAAUGUGAAAUCCCUCGGCUUAACCGGGGAACUGCGCUUGAUACUGGAUGGCUUGAGAUUGGGAGAGGGAUGCGGAAUUCCAGGUGUAGCGGUGAAAUGCGUAGAUAUCUGGAGGAACACCGGUGGCGAAGGCGGCAUCCUGGACCAACACUGACGCUGAGGAGCGAAAGCCAGGGGAGCAAACGGG